rnacentral:rRNA from 1 species
UACGUAGGGGGCAAGCGUUGUCCGGAAUCAUUGGGCGUAAAGAGCGUGUAGGCGGCUCGGUAAGUCCGCUGUGAAAGUCCAGGGCUCAACCCUGGAAUGCCAGUGGAAACUGUCGAGCUAGAGUCCGGAAGAGGCGAGUGGAAUUCCUGGUGUAGCGGUGAAAUGCGCAGAUAUCAGGAGGAACACCAAUGGCGAAGGCAGCUCGCUGGGACGGUACUGACACUGAGGCACGAAAGCGUGGGGAUCAAACAGG